GAUAAGUUCACACUCUCUUGUUUGAUCUGUUUUGGGAUGCGUUUUAUGCAAUGGUGAUGUGCCGUGUUGUAGUCAACUGGAGUUGGAGGAAUCAAGAUUGUGAAUACGCCUUGGUGAAUAUAUGUAUCUUUAGAAGUUUCUAAGUAGAAAAAAAUUGUGAUAUGUAUUGUUGUUCUUCAUUAAAUACAAAUCCUUUUGGUCUCUUAAUAAAAAUUAUUAUUAUUAUUAU